rnacentral:rRNA from 1 species
GUACACUCCUGCGGGAGGCAGCAGUGGGGAAUAUUGGACAAUGGGCGCAAGCCUGAUCCAGCCAUGCCGCGUGAGUGAUGAAGGCCCUAGGGUUGUAAAGCUCUUUCACCGGUGAAGAUAAUGACGGUAACCGGAGAAGAAGCCCCGGCUAACUUCGUGCCAGCAGCCGCGGUAAUACGAAGGGGGCUAGAGUUGUUCGGAUUUACUGGGCGUAAAGCGCACGUAGGCGGACUAUUAAGUCAGGGGUGAAAUCCCGGGGCUCAACCCCGGAACUGCCUUUGAUACUGGUAGUCUUGAGUUCGAGAGAGGUGAGUGGAAUUCCGAGUGUAGAGGUGAAAUUCGUAGAUAUUCGGAGGAACACCAGUGGCGAAGGCGGCUCACUGGCUCGAUACUGACGCUGAGGUGCGAAAGCGUGGGGAGCAAACAGGAUUAGAAACCCCGGUAGUCCCAUG